AGUGAACGCUGGCGGUAGGCCUAACACAUGCAAGUCGAACGGCAGCACAGUAAGAGCUUGCUCUUACGGGUGGCGAGUGGCGGACGGGUGAGGAAUACAUCGGAAUCUACUUUUUCGUGGGGGAUAACGUAGGGAAACUUACGCUAAUACCGCAUACGACCUACGGGUAAAAGCAGGGGAUCUUCGGACCUUGCGCGAUUGAAUGAGCCGAUGUCGGAUUAGCUAGUUGGCGUGGUAAAGGCCCACCAAGGCGACGAUCCGUAGCUGGUCUGAGAGGAUGAUCAGCCACACUGGAACUGAGACACGGUCCAGACUCCUACGGGAGGCAGCAGUGGGGAAUAUUGGACAAUGGGCGCAAGCCUGAUCCAGCCAUACCGCGUGGGUGAAGAAGGCCUUCGGGUUGUAAAGCCCUUUUGUUGGGAAAGAAAAGCAGCAGGUUAAUACCCCGCUGUUCUGACGGUACACAAAGAAUAAGCACCGGCUAACUUCGUG
rnacentral:rRNA from 1 species